UACGUAGGGGGCUAGCGUUGUCCGGAAUCAUUGGGCGUAAAGAGCGCGUAGGCGGCCAGAUAAGUCCGGUGUGAAAGUCACAGGCUCAACCUGUGAAUGCCGCUGGAAACUGUAUGGCUAGAGUCCGGAAGGGGCGAGUGGAAUUCCUGGUGUAGCGGUGAAAUGCGUAGAUAUCUGCAGGAACACCCGUGGCGAAAGCGGCGCGCUGGACCACUACUGACGCUGAGGAACGAAAGCUAGGGGAGCAAACAGG
rnacentral:rRNA from 1 species